UACGUAGGCAGCGAGCGUUGUUCGGAGUUACUGGGCGUAAAGAGUGCGUAGGCGGUUUUCUAAGUUUGGUGUGAAAUCUCCCGGCUUAACUUGGAGGGUGCGCCGAAAACUGGAAGGCUUGAGUAUGGGAGAGGUAAGCGGAAUUCCUGGUGUAGCGGUGAAAUGCGUAGAUAUCAGGAGGAACACCUGCGGUGUAGACGGCUUACUGGACCAUAACUGACGCUGAGGCACGAAAGCGUGGGUAGCAAACAGG
rnacentral:rRNA from 1 species